GACGAACGCUGGCGGCGUGCUUAACACAUGCAAGUCGAACGGUGAAGCUCCAGCUUGCUGGAGUGGAUCAGUGGCGAACGGGUGAGUAACACGUGAGCAACCUGCCCCUGACUCUGGAAUAAGCGCUGGAAACGGCGUCUAAUACUGGAUACGAGAAGGGUCCGCAUGGGCACUUUCUGGAAAGUUUUUCGGUUGGGGAUGGGCUCGCGACCUAUCAGCUUGUUGGUGAGGUAAUGGCUCACCAAGGCGACGACGGGUAGCCGGCCUGAGAGGGCGACCGGCCCCACGGGGACAGGGAAAGGGCCCAGACUCCAACGGGAGGAAGGGGGGGGAAAUUUUGCAAAAGGGGCGAAGGCCGGGGGGAGGGACCCCGGGUGGGGGAUGACGGCUUUCGGGUGGUAACCCCUUUUCAGGGGGGAAGAAGCGAAAGGGAGGGUCCCGGAAAAAAAACCCCCGGCAAACUCGGG
rnacentral:rRNA from 1 species